rnacentral:tRNA from 2 species
GCACCCAUAGCUCAGCUGGAUAGAGCGCUGCCCUCCGAAGGCAGAGGUCGCAGGUUCGAAUCCUGCUGGGUGCACCA